rnacentral:rRNA from 1 species
UCAGGAUGAACGCUGGCGGCGUGCCUAACACAUGCAAGUCGAGCGGAGAUAAGUGAAGCCUAGCGAUCUAUCUAGCGCGGAUGGGUGAGUAACACGUGGGUAACCUGCCCUAGCACUGGGGAAUAACAGCUGGAAACGGCUGUUAAUGCCGCAUAUGCGCACGGAGCCGCAUGGCUUUGGGCGGAAAGAUUUAUCGGUGCAGGAUGGGCCCGCGCCGGAGUUAACUAGUUGGCGGGGUAACGGCCCACCAAGGUGAUGAUCCGUAGCCGACCUGAGAGGGUGACCGGCCACAUUGGGACUGAGACACGGCCCAAACUCCUACGGGAGGCAGCAGUGGGGGAUAUUGCACAAUGGGGGAAACCCUGAAUGCAGCGACGCCGCGUGAAGGAUGAAGUAUUUCGGUAUGUAAACUUCUAUCAGCGGGGAAGAAGAUGACGGUACCCGACUAAGAAGCCCCGGCUAACUACGUGCCAGCCGCCGC